UCCUGGCUCAGGAUGAACGCUAGCGACAGGCUAACACAUGCAAGUCGAGGGGCAGCACGGGAGUAGCAAUACAACUGGUGGCGACCGGCGCACGGGUGAGUAACGCGUAUGCAACCUACCUAUCAGAGGGGAAUAACCCGGCGAAAGUCGGACUAAUACCGCAUAAAACAGGGGCACCGCAUGGUGAUAUUUGUUAAAGAAAUUCGCUGAUAGAUGGGCAUGCGUUCCAUUAGGUAGUUGGUGAGGUAACGGCUCACCAAGCCGACGAUGGAUAGGGGAACUGAGAGGUUGGUCCCCCACACUGGUACUGAGACACGGACCAGACUCCUACGGGAGGCAGCAGUGAGGAAUAUUGGUCAAUGGGCGAGAGCCUGAACCAGCCAAGUCGCGUGAAGGAAGAAGGAUCUAUGGUUCGUAAACUUCUUUUGCAGGGGAAUAAAGUGCAGGACGUGUCCUGUUUUGUAUGUACCCUGAGAAUAAGGAUCGGCUAACUCCGUGCCAGCCGCCGC
rnacentral:rRNA from 1 species